CUGUUAUUACCAUAAUAAAUUGGCAAUCUCCUAUUAACUAUUUGCAACUAGUGAAUGGUAUUUGAGUUCAAACACCCUGAAAACUAACCCUGAAAAAUACCAACUCGUUUCACUUUUAAUGUAGCUAAACAGAAUUAAGCUGUUAGUUCCCUUGUUCGAAUCUUGACGUCUUGGCAGCAGUCUAGCUUUGGAGUCGAACAGAGCAUGUGCUCCUUCUCUGCCAAGCUGAAGAGGGAGGGCAGGAAGUGAGGUACACUAUUUCCUGCGAGGAAUGAUGCCACUCUAGGGCAAAGCCCUCUCGUUUCAUACCCUGGAGAGGAAUCGGGGCUCGGGAAGUUCCUGUGGGAAUAAACUGGAGUGUGAUUGUAGGUUUUCUCUUUUUAAAGGAAUGCAUCCGUCUUGGUGGCUGCGAGGAAGCAAAAUCCCCAACGAUCAGAUACCCACCCCCAAAAUCAAAAUUAUCAAAAUAUAUCAAAUGUUUAUUAUAUUUGAUCGUUGGGAAUAUCAAAAACAAUGUCCCAACGAUCAAAUAAAGUUCUGGAAUCUGAUCAAACGAUCAGAUUGCAGAAUCUGAGCUUUAGGGAUUGGAUGCAGCUAGGAAGGGACAUUGUUUACCAGCAGGUGCGGUGCCAGACCCCUUGCAAGAGAAAUAAAAUUUCUCUUAUUGACUUGGGGAUGGAGAUUGCUGUUUAAGAGCUAAACCCACCACCUGCAGCUCAAGAGAGGCAAAGGGAAAUAAUUUGGAGAGCUAUUCCACAGAGAGUCAUCUCUAGAUGCACAUAAAUACAGAUACCUUUGACAUAGGAAGUAUUUGUGGAAACAAAAAUGCUUCAAAAUCAAAGAUGCCCUAUUGAAGUUUAUUCAUAUCCAUACAAUUAUGGGCCCAUAAAUUAAAGGGGUUUUGGAUGUAGCAGUUUGUAGUUCAGUUUGAAAGGCUGAGAUCCUGGACCUGGUGAUCCUGGAGCAAUUCCUGGCCAUCCUGACCCCAGGGUUGUGAAGCUGGGUGAAGGAGUGUGGAGUGGAAACCAGUUCUCAAGCAGUGGCCCUAGUUGAAGGCUGCCUCCUGAGCCAGGCUGAGGACAAGAACCAAGGAAAACUGCAGCCAUUUCCAGUGCAAGUGCCAUUGAUAGAGGUGGUUGCUGAAUGGCUCAAACCGAGUGGUGCAUCUGUCUAAAUCCUCCCAGGAGCUGCUGUUGGAGGUGAAUUCUCCAGAGGAUCAAGCUCAGGAUAUAUCACCAAAGAGUAGAACAACAUCUCUGAAUCUUCUAGAAACAUCUCCUCUUAAUUCAUGUUGAAGCAGAAACUGCAAGUACAGUCCCAGUUCAGGUGGCCCCAGACUACAUCACCAGUGAAAUAUUUCAGAUUUUCCCCAUCAGUUAAUAUUAGAGCAGCUAAGGACAGUUUUGAGCUACCUCAGAUAUCAGAACCCCUAAGAGGACUUCAAACUGUCUCAAGUGCAAGUUGGAUAAGAGAUGAAGGCAGCAUCAUGACAAUAUGACCGAAAAAAAGUAAUCAAGACAUAUUUAUGCAAUGACUUAACAGCA